CUAUUCUAUGGUACUAAUUCUCAAACACCCACGACCCAGAUGGUGUCUUAUUCUGACCAGUUUACAAAUAAGGAAGGGCAAGUUCAGACAGGGGUAGUUUGGCCAAGAUCACACAGACUUGAUACUUGAAGGUUUCUAACACCUGAGUCUAUAAGUGACCUUAGGCAGGUUGCUUAAUUUGUUCCUCCAUUUCCUUAUGUGAAAGUCAAGAUGGUAGUAACAGCAUUUCUUACUUCAGAGAAUGUCACUAUUUUCGUUGUUAGGAUCUCACCUCUGGCCAAAAACUAAAGAUAAUAGAGGCUGGAAAAGUGAAGAGGACCAUCCACUGGUGUUAUCAACCAAGGACAUUUCUGUUGUCACAGUGUCCAGGAGGAGCUUUUGAAGGCUGGGAACCAGGAGUGUUAGUGAUCAGUUCUACCUCAGUUGAGAUACACAUGAGAAGGCUAUUGGAAUUUAGCUCCUUGGAAGUGUACCAAUCCCAGUGACAGGUUGCUGGGUGAAAGUCCACCUUAACAUGAACUUGAGAUCCAAAAGAGACUGGGAAAAAAAUGGUACCUAGUUGGAGACAGAACAAGACUCUGAAGACAAGCCAGAUCCAGGACAGCCAGGCUCUAACCACUGAGCAGAAGUGGAAAGCUCAGGGUUCUAGGGCCCCUUUGAGGACUGCUCCUAUGAUGAAGUUGCCAUUUGAGUUUGAAGUCCUGCUUGAAGAUGAGUAGACUGGGAGAGAGUGGAAGGGGACAUGCUGAAAACUGAACCUAGACUUCUUCAUACGAGGCUCAAGAAGGGCUCCUGUGGCUCUAACAGCAGCUCCCUGUCACCAGCCCCAUUGCUUCAGGAAAGGAGCAUAGGACCUGACUGCCAUCAGAGCCAGUGACUUGAGAAUGGUGGCUGCAGACAACGGCACUCACCCAAUGAGGGGAGAAGGCAGUGGGAGAUGAAUGGGGUUGGGGGGCAGAGAAGCUUGGCCUGCAGGACAGAGCUGUAGCCCAGGAGGUGGGUGUUUGAGUGGUAGAUACUGAGGCUGGGGAAGAAAAAUGCAAGAGUUCCGCCCUCCCGCCCCAAGCACACUUAAGACCCAGCUUGAGGCGACUUCUUUUGCCCCAGCUUCAAAAACCUCAGAGAAAAGCAGCCAGCGUCCUGUUGCCACCCUCAUUUAUCUGGCUUUUCUGACGCUUCCUUGUCUUUCCAAGGAUAAAGUUCAGCUCCCUAAGGUGCAUGAUAUUAAGAGUGUGUCCUGUUUGUCAUCUUCAGUGUGUGUGGGCUAUUCAAACAGUCCCCACACCCCUCCUGUUCUCUGCAGCUCCCAUUCAGUCCUGCUUGC
rnacentral:lncRNA from 1 species